GAGGGAGGGGGGAGGGGAAGGGAGUGGAGGAAAAGGGAGGGGGAAGAUGCUCCCGGCCACUGCUGCCUCUGCCAGUACCCGAGAACCUGCUGCUUCUGUGGUGGCAGUGACAGAGUGGCCCUGGCGGUUCCUGGAGCUCGUCCUGCCCAGGCCCCUUGAGCUGGAUUGGAAGAGUGGAGCUGGAGCGAAGUCCGGAGGCUCUCGGGGAAGGAAGUGGCUUGGAAGCCUUAGAGCCUGGGCAGGGAGGGACUGCAGCAGGACUGUGACUCUCUCCGCGAUCCUCGAUCAAGCCAGCAAAGGGCUGGUUUCGCUGGGGGAAGAUUGCAAUCCUGGUUCCUUUUCUCCCUUCCCCUCCGUCCGGCACCCCGACAACAGCUCCGAUGUAGGAAAAGGAAACAAGAUGAAAAAUCUACCUGAUCAAAGCAUCUAUGAACACAGCUGAAUUAGUCACCAAUGCUGCAGCCAUGAUUUCAAAAUCCAUGUUGCAAAUUAGAAAUAUGUUCAAGUCUUCUUAAUCCUGGGCUCAAGAUGAAUCACAGUGGCUCACUAAAUACAUUAAGUGCAGAAAUUAGUUUAUUUUUUCUCUCUGUGUUGUCUUCUUUCCAAGCUCAUCAGUUUCCUCUUCCUCUUUUUUUUUUUCCAUUCCUCUCCCUUACAUGUAUUAAAAUACUAUGAAGGGCAGGGAAAGCUAUCACUGAUUAUUUAGGUGAGUGCUAAAUAUUAUGAUCCUCUAUAUUUUAGUAUUUUAUCCAGCUUUGACUCCUUUUCUCAGCAUGUUUUUGAUUUCCUUUGUGUAUCAAAGCAACCUAUGGCAGAAAUACUAAGUGAAGUCUAACAAGCUAAAAUCAACAGCUACUCCUUAAAGGUCAGAUAGUCCACUCUAAAAAAAAAAAAAAAAGAAAAAUCUAUUCUUGGGACUUCCCUUUUCUGUCUCAGUGGGUUAAAUUGAAGGUUCCAGCAUUUUUAACCCAAAAGAAUCCUGGGCAUGGGAAGAUGUCCUCUUGUUCCUUCAGAAAUCUCUAUUCAGUUCUGAUUAUCUCUGUAAGAAGAAAACAGCCUGGUCACAUAGUCUCUUAUAAGCAUACAGAGGCUGAAAACCCCUCCUGAAUGGAGAUUCCUCUGUUUCUCUAUACUGGAGAACCUUCUGUCCUUCCUCCUAACAUUUCUAAGCAAGGGCAUGUUUUACCCUCAAGAGACUGUGUGACUUUCAC
rnacentral:lncRNA from 1 species